GCACAGGGGCGCUAGCCUACUGUGUUCCCUCUUUGCCUGGCAAAAAAUAAAGCUAUUCUUUCUUUUUCUCCAAAACUCUGUCUCCGUAUUUCUGUUUGGCAUCAGUGCACAGAGAGCCAAGAUUUUUGGCAUCAUACUUUCCUGUUCUGCAGAGAGCAUUGGUGCUGCUUCUGUUUCCCUUGGCGAACAAAAGUCUUGGGAAGGUUCAAAAGAAGGGAGUUGAGCAUUGUCUUUAAAGUAGAUGUUCUCCCAGGAAUUUGACCUAGAUGCCGACAAGACUUUGGAAACUACUGGAAAAUCGAAUUCUAAAAGUGGUCUUUAGUCCUGUGAUGUCUUCGGUAGUCUUCCACAAGAUGCCUAUUGACUGGAAUGUUACAUAUUUCCCCUUUUCUUUAAUGGGAAAAAGAUGAAAUUAUGUGCAAUUCUUUCAGCUUGUAAAAGUGUCAUUUUUCCAAUGCUUUUUCUUAUUUGCAGCUUCUAUUCUAAAGCAACUUGUAUAACUUUAAAAAGUCAGA